rnacentral:lncRNA from 1 species
CUGCGUCCCUUCUGUGUGGAUGGUGAGCUGGUAAGACAGGAGCCCAGGACGGCUGGGGACAUUCCAAGCAGAGUCUGCCUGAGAAUAAAACCAACACCCAGGAAAGACGAUCAGCAGGUGAGGAGAGAGAGCUGUGGUAGGUGAUUAUUUGAGAAUGUUCAGCUGGCUAGCCACGAAUCCCCUGGAUUUUUCAGUCAUAAGCCUGGUAAAUUUCCCUUUUGCCUAAGCCAGUUGGAGUUAGUUUUUUUUCUGUUGCAACUGGGAAAAAAAAAUCUGACUUAUUACCGAGGUAAAGAAGUCAUACUUAUUUAGAGUAUGCAGUCCUUUUGUCUACAGCACACCAAGGAUCCUUAAUGAGCUCUCUAUAUUGGUCUGUGGUUACCAUAUUUUCCCAACCACUUCCUAAAAAUUCAGGACAUUUGCUUAGACAAACAGAAUUUUACUCGUAGAACGAGGCAAGCAGAAUGUUUGAGAAUCAGAACUCUUCUGAAAACCUGGGACAUGGGAAGAAAACACACGUUCUGAAUAGUAAUGAUCCCAUUCUCCUCGCCCCAGAAGAGCUACAGGCAGGCCCUUCAAACUCCAUUUCUUCCAUUUAGUAAUCAGGCUAAAAAUAGCUUGCCCACACUCUCUGCUGCAGAUUGAAUCACACAGCUCAGAAGCCCUUGUGCCAAUGAUCUGCCCAGACUCGAAAUGGCCAGUCGAAAGCUGGACCCUGUGGUGAGAACUCAACAGGGGAAUUCAGGCUUAGGUAAAUAUGUUAAAGACUCUGAUAAGUCCUGCAAAAAAAAAACCCAGCCACCUUGAUUGCUCAAGAGCAACCCAUCUCGGUCACUUAGGACAUUUGACUUCCCAGAGAUGACACCUUAUGCCUUAGAUUCUCCUGGAAGCUGGGCUUAGCCAAGCUUGUUCUCUCCAAUCUAAGCAUGGUUCCUGAGUAUUUCACAAGUAUGCAUCUGGGGGAGGGGCUUGGGUUGAGGCUCAGUGGUAAAGCACUUGCCUGGCAUGUGUGAAGCACUGGGUUGCAUCCUCAGCACUAAAAAGAAAUAAUAAAUAAUUAAGUAAAUAAAUAAAUGUAUCCAUCUGCAGUACUUAUGGAUUGGCAGUUGGCAAGGGCUCCUGAUACAGUAGCUAAUGAUGUGACAGACACUAGCAUUCAUUUCCUUUUGCAAUCCACAAGGCCAAUGCUAGAUUCAGCCUUCCUGGUGUAUAUGAGGCACCUUUUAAACGUUUAUAUUUAUCAAGGAGUCCCAAAACUCCAUGACUUAGGAUCUAUUGAUAUCUCCGAUGGACACAUAAGGAAAUUGAGACUCCAAACAGCCCAGCAGAUUUCCAAGGUCAUGCGCCUAGUAAUCGUAGGCCAGAGCUCAAUUCUAGAACCAACUCCUUUAUUCUCAAACCCUGUUCUUCAUGCCUACUAUAAUUAGACUUUUUUGAGAACUUUGGCGUUUGGUUUGGGAAAGUUCAUCAGCUUUAAUUUUUAUAAUAAUAUUUAGUUAGGAAUUUUGAAAAUCAUUGAUUAGGCAUUCAUAGCAGGGAUACGCCACAGUAAUAAAGACUUACCCCUCUCCCGGGUCCAGCACUGUGCUAGGCUUUGGGACUACAGAGGAUGAGAGGAGACGUAGUCUAUGGCUUCCUAAAGCCUCACAGACGGAGGAAGGGCCCCACUACCCUGGGAGUUUCAGGAAGGCCUCUGCUCUCUUGGAAGCCAGCUGGUGACUGGCUCAUCCAUUUUAGUAAACGGGGAACCCUUAGAAUCAAAAGAUUGGUUAUUCUCGUUUCUGACCCGAGGUGCCACAUGUUUGGGAAGAGGAUAGGACCUUAAACGAUUCCGAGGUCAAGGGAAGGACCCCCAGAACUUCCCAUUCCGUGUGUCCGUUUGGGUACGUUCUUGUAUCAAGAGUGCACCUCAGUUGACGUCUUUUUUACACCCCUUGUGCACUUUUUGCUGGGAAAGGUCUAGGUACUGGUCUCUCGGCUUAGGUCUUCAAGGUUCUACCCCCAGGUCUAGCUGUACAAAAAUAUUUAGAACGUUUCCUAAGACUAUGUGUCUAACAUUAAACUUUCCGACCAAUACGUUUCGACACCGUCGUGAACCCUUGAAUAGUCUUUACGUCUUGAGCCCGGUGUAGAGUCUCCAUAAGUCUUAAGUUCAGUCAUAAAAUAGGUCCAGGGACCACUGUGGACCCAUUUUAUCCGAUCCUUUCGUUGAAUUAUCAAGACACGUGAGCCUUUACUGACAUCUUUUCCUAGGACGACCCAAUCCGAGGUAUGGUACCAGUUGCAGUUUCGUCUUUGGUAGAUGACCAGUGGUUCACAAGAAUCUCAUCCACAAGAAUUGGUCCUCUCUAGACCCUAACGGUGAGGGGUUUCGUAGUAGCCCUUGUCGUAUAAAAAAAAAAAAAAAGUUUAGUGUGAACCGUCUCGGGAGCCGAAGUAGGAGAUCUUGGUGGACCCCUAUUCCUAACAGACUCCGUCGGACCGGACUCGGAAGUCCGAUGUUUGAGGUGAAGUUUGUCUCGGAGAGACGAAACUAGUCAAAAUCUUUAACCCUAAUGUCAAACUAAAGGAAACUUUUCUUCUAAAAACGACGGAAUGAUAAGAAAAGGGGAGUUAGUUGGACCACGACGAGUGUUACGGGCACCUACGAUUACCGUAGGAGGAUAGUGAUGGAUUCUCUACCCGACUCUCUUCUUCGUAAAAGGAGUUACGUAGGGGCCCUCCGUCUCUCCACUGAAAGCUUUACAGUUUUGGAAGAGGACAAGGGUCCUCCUGCUAAGUCAAUGAAAGGAUAGGAUAAAAUUGUACGCCACUGGUUCUUACUCCGAUUACACCUUUUAAGACUCAGGUCGAGUACGUGGUGGGGAUCAAAUCGGAGAGUGUUCUCGAGGUAACAUAAAAAAAAAAGAAUAUUUGGUUUUGUAAGGGUGGUCAGUUACCCUUAAACUAUGAAUUCCAUUUGUCGUCUUCAGACCUAGAGAGAAACCUGGGUCAUAAAACCCCUGUAGAAAUCACUAAUCGUAACGAAUCACCGAGAUGAAUCUCACAGAGUCUUAAGUGAGUGUGUCGUCGACGGACCCCCGAGUCCUUUCCUACUAGAGUCAAAAUCACUGUGGAUUUUCCACCCAGAGAUGCCCCUACGUAUUUUACCAGCACCCUGUCUGAAACCAUAAAGCCCCUUCGAUAAAUUACUUGUGGAGGACACGGACUAAACCAGUCUCUUUAAUCUGUAAAUUUUUGAUUCUGCCAGCUUGGGAGGCUGAGGUGGGAGGAUCCCAAAUUCAAAGCCAAUCUGAGCAACUUAGUGAGGACCCAAGCAACUCAGUGAGACCCUGUCUCUAAAUAAAAUAUAAAAAGUGGGUGAGGCAUUUGGCUUAGUGGUGAAGCACCCCUGGGUCCAAUCCCUGGUGCCUUAAAAAAAAGAAAGAAAGAAAGAAACAAACAAACAAAAAAAACCCUAUCUGCAUGGAUCUAGUAAGUUACUAAUGAACAAUUUUUUAAAAAAAAUUUUUAGGGAAUAGAUGCUUUUAAGGAGGGAGAAUAGGGUGUCAGGUGUCAGUGUAGUUCAUAGACACAGACUCUCUGAGAGGCUGGCAUGUGGGUUUGGGAUGAUAUCUGAAUUUGGGGGAGAUGGAGCUAUAGGAAGAAUGAGGGGUAGGGGGUGGAAGCCAACAGCACAAGUGCAAAUGCCCCCAGAUGGAAAUGACCUUGUGAUUCAGAGAGACCAAAAGCUCAGGUGGCUAGAGCAAAGUGAAGGAGCAGCCCAGUCAGAGGAAGGGAGAUCCUGGUGGUAGUAAAGAUCAGAUUAUUGCGAUUUUACAGGACACAGAAAGACAGUGGGCCCAGUGCAGGGGAGCACGCCUAUCAUCCCAGUGGCUCAGGAGGCUGAGGCAGGAGGAUCUAAGCAACUUAGCGAGACUCUAUCUCAAAUAAAAAAUAAAAAGGGCUGGGGAUGUGUCUCCGUGGUUAAGUACCCCUGGGUUCAAUCCCUGGUACAAAAAAAAAAAAAAAAAAAGACAGUAUAAGGGAUAAUUUCUCAAAUAACUUUUCCAGUGGGAAAAUUACCUAUACAAACAUCUACACCAUUCACAUGAACAAUGGCCUAUAUUCUGAACAAUACUUUCCGAUUUUAUUUGACUUGAGUUUUGUGUGUAGGGUGGAUCAGAGUUGGUACUUUUCCCUGGGGACACUUAUUGGAACUACUGGGAAAGAGUUUUUUUUUCAAGGGGUAUGGCAUACAACCUGCUUGUUCCUCAGAGGUAUGAUUCUCUUGCUCUGCCCUAGAGGGUGACCCAUACCCACAGUGACCCCCUACUACCCACACGAGCAGACUACAUCCAGUGGUGCCUCAAACCAACCAUACACACGCUCAGGAUUUCCAUUCCCCCUCAACGUCAUCUCAGUGCAUUCUCCCUAAAUGACACACACCUGCAGCUUCUGUAGAUCUGUACUCUGAGAGUUCAAGGGCUCCACAAAUGUGUGACACAAUGCAUGAGAGUUUGGAGGUGAAAUGAAGGGGUUGCGAGAGUUUUAAUCUCAUUAGUGCAUUGAUCCCCACCUGGCAGGGAUUAAUGGGUGGUGACUGUAGGCAGGUUGGCUGUGGCUGGAGGAGGAGGGUCACUGAAGGCCUGCCUUGGGGCUCUGCUCUCUGUGUCCACACCCUGAGCUGUUUUCCUCUGCCUUACUCUUCUGCCAUGAUGCUUGACCUCACCUGGGGCCCAGAGCUACACAGUUGGCCAUCUAUGGACCGAGACCUCUGACACCACAAGACAGAUAAAAUUUCCCUCCUCUCAAUUGUUCUUGUAAGGUCUGUUGGUUGCAGCAGCACAAGAGCGGAAAACAUCAUUUCUAUCCAUAAACCAGGCCUGCUUUCUCUUCCUGUGUCAGUUGGUAUCAAUAUGUCCCCAAAUAGAUUCAUUCUGAUGUCCAAUAAAUGUCACAUGAAUGAAUGACCAUGUGAAUACACUUCCAGACCCCAGUAAGACCAGAACCAAAAGAGAGAGGAGGAGGCAAGGGAGCCUGUGUCUUACAGCCCAUUUGUCCAGCCCUUCUGUGCCUGGGGCAGUGGGUAGAGGUGCUGGACCUCACUUUCACAUUGGAGUCCUCUGGCAUCUUCUGAGGACCUUGAAAUAAAGUUCUGAGGCUGAAGUCCCACUCCCAGAGAUUCUGAUGUAAUUUUUUGGGAUGUGGCCCAGGUACCAAAAGUUCUCAAAGCUCCUGGGUGAUUAUUUUAUUCACUCCAAUAUAAAAGCCACUCUUUGAGUGUCACUGAAACUGAAGUCAUCUUUCCCUGACCCUGUCAGCUUCUUUAUGAAGUGGAUUCUGAGAAGCUUGAAUAGUAAAGCCACUCAGCAGCGCUCAUCAAUCGGGAUGGCUCCAAAAUACUGGUCUAAAGAGAGCUCUGGGCUGCUGCCAUUUCCCUGAAGUAUGGACUCCCCUUGAAUGGUGGGAACAUUUUGGCUCAUAGAGAAAGAGCAUUUGGAAUGUUCUCAUCAGUGUUUUUGCUGCUGUGACUAAAUGAUCUGAGCAGAACAAUUUCAGGGGAGGAAGAGUUUAUUUAGGGGCUCAGGGUUUCAGAGGUCUCAGUCCAUAGACAGCAGGCUCUAUCCCUCGGGGCUCGAGGGGAGGCAGGACAUCAUGGAGGAAGAGUGUGGUGGAGGGAAGCAGCUCACAUGGUGAUCAGGAAGCAGAGAGAGACCCCACUCUCCAGAGACAAAUAGAGACCCCAAAGCCACGCCCCCAAUGCCCCCUCCUCCAGCCACACCCACCUGCCUCCAGCCCCCACCCAGUUAAUCCCAUCAGGGGUUCAUUCACUGGUUGGGUUAAGGCUCUCACCACCCAGUCAUGUCUCCUCUGGACCUUCCUGCACCAUCUCACACGUGAGCUUUUGGGGGACACCUCACAUCCAGCCAUAACAUUGAACAUAGGGGACAAACUAAUGUAGAUAGGAACCUCCCUCAAACCCUACAGUCCCAGAGGUCUCCCUCACUCCCUCACUAGUUGUGACUCACAAAAUCUUUACUUCACCAAAUAAGGCCCCGUUUGUUCCCACUGGGGGCAUUCUUAUUUUAUUAGGCUGAAAGCUUCCUGAGAGUAUGAGCCAAUGCUGCUUUCACAUCUGCUGACGGAAUGAGGAUCAAAAUCAGCACCCCAUGCCUUCUAAGUACGCGCAGGUCUCAGAGGCACAUGGGCUGUUGUUCAAAACCCAGCUGUGGCGCACCAUGGUGGCCCCACACCUGUCAUCCCAGUGGCUUGGGAAGCUGAGGCAGGAGGAUCACGAGUUCAAAGCCAGCCUCAGCAACUUAGCAAGGCCGUAAGCCACUCAGGGAGACCCUGUCUCUAAAUAAAAUAUAUUUAUAAAUAGUGCUUGGGAUGUGGCUCAGUGGUUAAGCACCCUUGAGUUCAAUCCCUGGUACCAAAAAAUAAAACUAAUAAACAACAACCAAGAAAUCCCAGCUGUACCACAAUUUAGUUGAGUCAAUAUGUGACCCUAUUUACUCAUGUGUAAAAUAAGUAUUAAUGGUGGUCCCUAAUAGUAUCAAUGGUAGUCCCUGCCUUGCAGAAGUUGGAUAGAAAUUAAAUUAGAUAAUACAUGUUCUUCUUUUUUCUUUUUGGGUACCAGGGAUUGAACCCAGGGGCACUUAACCACUGAGCCACAUCCCAGCCUUUUCUAUAUUUUAUUUAGAGACAGGGUCUCACUGAGUUGCUUAGGGCCUCGCUAAGUUGCUGAGGCUGGCUUUGAACUCCUGAUCCUCCUGCCUCAGCCUCCUGAGCCGCUAGGAUUACAGGUAUGUUUUUCUUUCCUCUUGAGGCAUAACUACCAUCUCUACAACAAUUGAUCCUUAUCUCUCAUGGUUCCCAGUGUUGGCAGGCCCAGCUAGAAGCUUCUUCCUCAAGAGUUCUUUGCUCGGUUAUCGCCAGAUGGCAGAUGCUGGACAAUCUCAUGGCUUCUUUACUCACCUGCCUGGUGCCUGGGACUGGGCUGCCUUGAAUACCUGGGUGGUGGCCAGUUCAGGUCUCUCCACCCCCUGUGGCUAACCUGGGCUUCCUUACAGCCCUGUGCGCUCAGGGCUGUUGGACUCCUUCAUCAGCGAGCUGCUGCCCUGAGUGAGUCCCCAAGAGACAGGAAACCGAAGCUGCCAGGGGACUGAGGGCUGAGUCUAGAAAUAGCCAAAGCCUCACUUCCCCCAUAUCCUCCUGCUCCCAACAGCUACAGUCCUCACCCAGAUUCGAGGGGAGGGGGCAGAGACGCACCUCUCCAGAGAAGGAACACUGAUAGAUUUGUGGAUAUGUUUUGUCCACUACUGUAUAUAAAGCAAAUGCCACCCCGUCCCCUAUGUCAUGAGGUGCCCUUGGAACUGAUGGACGAUAGGAUCAGCAAAUCUAGGAGGAACCGGAGGGAGCGACUGUUCUAAUCCCUGCAAAGGAACAGUUCCCUGUGGGAAGCCCUGAGUCACCAUCUACGUGUGGGGCACUUCAGGACUACAGGAAGUCACACUUCAGGACUACAGGAAGUUGCUGUCACCAUCCCUCCAAGGCGGUUAUUGUGAGGUUGCAUAGAAGAGGGCAGGCAGGGAGACUUGUCACAUUGCCACCGCAGGGUGGCCUGAGUGCUUGUGUAAAGAUGUCACCGUCAGCAGGGAGUAGGACUUGUCACCAGGACAGCGAGUCAGAGUGAAAUCAUGGCUUCUAAGGUCCUGAUGUCUGCCAGGCUGGGGGGCAGUGACACUGGUCCAGCACCCCACCCUCUCCAUGGAAAGAUCCAGGACACUUACAUGAGGGGGGGAGAGGACUCAGUGCCUUCACAACUCGGAUUUGCUUAGGGGACAAUGGUGACCCAACACUUUUCUUGAAAUGUAUUAUGGAGGGAAAAAGAAAAUGAACCAGGGCAAGUAGUAGAAUAUCUGAUUUAAAGAUAAUUCAUUAUGACAAAAUCGGGAUUAUUCAUGUUAUGAAACGUAUUAGUGACAUUAGAUAAUCAAAUGGAUAAAAUUCACCAUGUUAAUAGAUUAUUGUUCUUCUCUAAAAAUGGCCUCUUGACAUCCUACCCAUGGGUGGUCCCCUCUCUUACAGAAUCUGGGCUGGGCUGCUGUGGCUUGUCUUAGCCAACAGAACAUGGCAAACGAGAUGCUUGCUAAUGCCAGGCAGCGUCUUUGGGAUUCCCUGAGCCACCAUGUAAGAAGUUCAGCCAUAGAGCUUGAGAGACCUUGGACAGAUCACAUAGAUCACAUAGAAGAGGACCGGACUUGACCUAGAUAGAGGCAAGCCCCGCCCUCCCACCAUUCCAGCUAGACUGGAGCUGUUAGCUCUCUCCAUCAAGGCACCCAUCAUGGAAGGGGGCCAUCUUGGACAUUCCAACGUCCAAGCAGAACUUCCAGUUAACUCCAACCCUCAGCUCCCAGCCUCUGCACAAGAGCCCCCCAACCAGAACACCACUACCUGCUGGGCUCCUCACCACAGAUUUGG